rnacentral:rRNA from 1 species
UAAGAAGGGAGCCAGCGUUAUUCGGAAUCACUGGGCGUAAAGGGCGCGCACGCGGUUUUGUAAGUCUAAAGUGAAAUCCUUGGGCUUAACCCAAGGGUUGCAUUAGAUACUGCAAAACUCGAGGUCGGGAAAAGCAAGCGGAAUUCCUGGUGAAGGGGUGAAAACCGUAGAUAUCAGGAAGACCACCAGUGGCGAAAGCGGCUUGCUAGAACGCAACUGACGCUUAGGCGAGAAAGCGUGGUGAGCAAACAGG